rnacentral:rRNA from 1 species
ACUACAUGAAGCCGGAAUCGCUAGUAAUCGCGGAUCAGAAUGCCGCGGUGAAUACGUUCCCGGGUCUUGUACACACCGCCCGUCACACCAUGGGAGUUGGAAAUGCCCGAAGUCAGUGGCCCAACCGGAAGGGGGGAGCUGCCGAAGGCAGGUUCGAUGACGUGGGGUGAAGUCGUAACAAGGUAGC